rnacentral:rRNA from 1 species
UACGGAAGGCAGCAGUGGGGAAUAUUGCACAAUGGGCGAAAGCCUGAUGCAGCUAUGCCGCGUGUAUGAAGAAGGCCUUAGGGUUGUAAAGUACUUUCAUCGGGGAGGAAAAACAAAACUAAUAAUUUUAUUUCUUGACGUUACCCGAAAAAGAAGCACCGGCUAACUCCGUGCCAGCAGCCGCGGUAAUACGGAGGGUGCUAGCGUUAAUCAGAAUUACUGGGCGUAAAGAGCACGUAGGUGGUUUUUUAAGUCAGAUGUGAAAUCCCUGGGCUUAACCUAGGAACUGCAUUUUGAAACUGAAAUACUAGAGUAUCGUAGAGGGAGGUAGAAAUUCUAGGUGUAGCGGUGAAAUGCGUAGAUAUCUGGAGGAAUACCUGUGGCGAAAGCGGCCUCCUAAACGAAUACUGACACUGAGGUGCGAAAAGCGUGGGGAGCGAAAACAGGGAUUAAGAUAACC